rnacentral:rRNA from 1 species
GUGGGGAAUCUUGCGCAAUGGGCGAAAGCCUGACGCAGCCAUGCCGCGUGAAUGAUGAAGGUCUUAGGAUUGUAAAAUUCUUUCACCGGGGACGAUAAUGACGGUACCCGGAGAAGAAGCCCCGGCUAACUUCGUGCCAGCAGCCGCGGUAAUACGAAGGGGGCUAGCGUUGCUCGGAAUUACUGGGCGUAAAGGGCGCGUAGGCGGACAGUUUAGUCAGAGGUGAAAGCCCAGGGCUCAACCUUGGAAUUGCCUUUGAUACUGGCUGUCUUGAGUACGGGAGAGGUGAGUGGAACUCCGAGUGUAGAGGUGAAAUUCGUAGAUAUUCGGAAGAACACCAGUGGCGAAGGCGACUCACUGGCCCGUUACUGACGCUGAGGCGCGAAAGCGUGGGGAUCGAACAGGAUUAGAUACCCGGGUAGUCC